UUUUUUUUUUUCCCAAAAUUUCCAGAUCGUUCAACUCUUGCUAAGAUGAAUUGUUAAGUUUUUGUUUUGUAUUUCAUAAGAGUUGUAUUUUUGAACGAUUGAUCAUCAUCUACUAGACUUGAUACCACAUGAGAGGAUUUGUGUUGCUCUGAUGUAUCAUCAUCAUCAUCAAAAAGUUUGAAGAGAUAGGUGGCUAGCUUUAAGAUGUGAAGAAGGGAAUGAGCAAAUUAGGUCAGUUUUAUUAAUAACUAAUCUACCUUGUUUUAGUUAAAAAUAAGUGCUUGUUGUUUUCCUUUGUUGUAUUUUUUGUUUUUUUUAAUAAAAGGUGGUUAACAUAUGCGAGAUUUUUGCAAAUAUUUACUAAGAGAAUUCAAAAUGGCUAUGAAGGUCUACUAAUCUGUAAUGAAGAUGUUAACACAUGUGAGGUUUUUGUAAGAAAUUUUAAAAUGCCUAUGAAGGUGUUUUUUUAAGAAAACUCAAAUUUGCUUCAAUUUAAGGUUGUACUUGGACACUAUAUGUUUUUUUUUUAAUUUCCCAAGUCUUUCAUGUGUUAUCCCAUUUCAUUUACACCACUUGAAAUGAGAAUUUACAAAUUAGAAACAUGAAAAUGAUCAUAAUUAUUUACCUAUUUUUUAUGAUUGAAACAACUUCUUUAUAGAGCACAAAUUAAGAGUUAGGUCAAAAGUAUUAGAUCCACAAAUUUAAAGAAUCAAAUAAUAGAAAGUAAAACUUGUGUAAAAUGUAUAAAAGAAAAACUAUCUUUUAUUAAAAACCAUUUAUAAAAACAAAUUGCCCCUUUUUUAGACAAAACAAUAUGAAACUUGUGUUAAACUAGUAGAUGUCCCGCUCGCGUUGCGGGGCAAGGACCGAAUAAUUCUCAACCAAUUAAAACAAGAGUACUAUAAUUUUCCUAGGAAAAAAAAAUAAAAACGAUGAUAAGACCGUAGUAAACCAAUUAAAACAAAAAACCUUUAUAGUUUUGGUAAAAAAAAAUCUAAAACGAUGGGAAAAACGUAAUUUUUAACUGAGGGCCAAAUCAUAAUUUAAUUCGGGGAUAAAUUGUAAACUAAAUGGACCAACGGGGGAGUGCCAGGAAGUUGCCGGCACGACUGUAAUUUUACACUGGGGGCAAAAUUGUAAUGUCACCAGGAAAACAAACAAAAACGAUUGGGAAAAUGUAAAGUUAAGUUGAGGCUAAAAUCGUAACUUGGCUGUGAGAAAAAAAACUAACGGCAAAACUAUAAAUCUAUACGGGGCAAAAUCGUAAUUUUGAACCGAGAGCAAAAUCAAAAUUUUUAGCUGGGAGUAAAAGGGAAAUUUUUUUAAGUGGGGGUAAGAACAUAAUUUUGAACUGAUGGCAAAAUCGUAAUUUUAAGGGGAAAAAAACUAAUGGCAAAAGUGUAAAAUUAAACGGGGCAAAAUCGUAAUUUUUAACCGAUGGCGAAAUCGAAAUUUUUAGCUAAGAGUAAAAACGCAAAUUUAUUUUUUAGUGGGGACAAAAACAUAAUUUUAUACUGAUGGCAAAGUCGUAAUUUUAAGGCAGGACAAAAUCGUAAAUUUACUUGGCCAAUAAGGGAGUGCCAGGGCCUGCCGCCCAUUUCACCCAAUUGGGUGGCGGACCUAUUACCCGAUGAUGUCAUCAUCUUGAAAUUGUAUUUUGUUGAAUGAAUGUACACAAGGCAUUAUAAUUUUGAAAACCACUAAAAACAUCAAUUUACAUUUAAAAAAACAUGUAAACUUGUGUAAACAUGUAAAAUGAGAAAUUACCAUAUUUAUAGAAAACCUUAUCCAAAUGAAUCUUCUAUUAGUUUUUUAAGGUUAACAAAUACAUUAUUUGUCAUUCUGAUCCUGUUUAAAUAAAAAACAGAAAAUAUGAAUCUUUAAUUACAUGUUUAAAGAUCAAACUAUAAACUGAAAGAAAGAAAGAAAGUACACGAACUUUGGUUAACCUUUGAUUUAUCAUGUUCAGGGCAUCAUCUUCUAAACCUAUUUAAAUUAAGAACAAAAAAAUUUAACUUUUAAUUCCAACUUUAAAGAUGAGAUUAUAAACUGAAAGAAAGAAAAUACGUGAUUUGAGCUCGCCUUCAGUUCAUCAGGCUUCCACAUCAUCUUAUAAUCCUGUUUACAUAGAAGCAGAAAAUUUGAACUUUUUAAAUAUACAUGUUUAAAGAUGAUAUUUUAAACUAAGCACUAGUAAAAUGAGUGAAAAAAAGUACAUGAAUAUACGUUCACCUUCGGUUCACCAUUCUUCACCAUCAUCUCCGUGUCCUUUUUAGACCAAAUUACAAAAGUUCUUUUGUUAAGAGUGUCAAAGCUAAAGUGUAAUAUGAUGAAAAGAGUACCUUGGCCGACUGAUUUGUGCUUUUUUAUGAUGAUCUUCCAUUUAGACAGCAGAGGUAAUGUUUCUUUAACCCCAUAAACCUCUUUAUAUACUUGAUAAUAUGAUCCACUACUGAAGGGGUAUGGUCCCAAAAACCCUGCGCAAGCGCAUAAGACCAUACCCUAACUUCAUUCCAAAGAACAUCUCAAACAGAACCUUGCGCGGCUGCGCAACGGUUCUAAACAAAAUCUGGGAAUAACAGUCUUCGAGGACCAUGCGCCAGAAGAAAAGAGACAAAUAUUUAACUAAACACCUUUGCGCGGGCUUGCGCAAGGGUACAGUUAAGCUUGAAGAUGAACUCCUGAACAUCUCCACGUACCCGAAAUCAAGACUUAAACAAAGGAAUCUUUUCUAUUAUAACAGAAUGGACAUAUGGCAAAGGCAUGGAGGUUUACUGCUGUAGAUCUUCUAAAAGGAUUUUUAAUGCUCAUCGUGCAUGGCCAUUCGGUUACAACCGAUUGUGACGUGGCAUGAUCAUAGGCGCUCAUCUAAUCACGAUGAUGGUAAUCUCUUGAAGAUGGAUCUAUACAAAACCACUAUUCACGUGGCAUCUCACCAGCCGUUGAUCAAACUCACAAUCCAUGUGCAUGGAUGUGAAGUUAACUAUUUACGUAAAAGUGGAAUAACCACUAACGGAAAAGUGCUUUCUGUCAGCUCUCCAUUACACCAUUUUCCCGCCAAAAACCGGUUAUAAAUAAGGUACUGCAGGUAUGAUCUCACAAGUUACACUUCACCUACUCACUCUUACUACUUUACCUUCUUCUUUGAGAUCACUGUACUUAUUCUCACGCCGGAGGGUGGUCACAGAGAGAACCCCCAUUCUCCCCGUGGCGAGUCUAACGGCUUCCUGUUUUGCAGUUAUCACCAGAGAAGGAAACUAGCCAAACCCCUGAAUCAACAGGAGGAUUAACCCCUUUUAUGCAAAGACUAAACCCUGAUCUGAUUGACUCCGGUCCAAUUAGAUCACUGUUUUUCAACUACCCUAUUUUAUACGAGCCAAGUUAAAAAAUCGUGGGACAGUUUUAUCAUUUUUUGGCGCCUUCAAAGUUCAAAAUAUGUAUUAUUUUAAAUGGUUUUAAAGCUUCCAUUUAUUUCAGGAGCCGACAUUUUUUUUUCCAAAUUGUAAUUGUAACAUGUUUUUUAUAUGCAUCUUCUUUCUGUUUAUCGUUAUAAAAUAUUACCUUUUAAUUUUAAAUUUGUAAGUAGAACUGUUGGUAACUGAAACCUGGAGGUUUUUUGAAUUCUGGUAGUUUUUUAGUAAUUAGAUCAUGG